ACUACCAUAAGACAUCUUUACAAGUAGUUACUGUAAUUUGCAUUGCAUUAUGGGUAUAGUACAUAGUAUUACAGUAACUUACUGUAUGUUUUGAAUUUGCAGUAAUUUACUGUUUACACAUUACAGUAGUGGUACUGUACUUAUAAUAUACAGUAAGAAUUAUAUUUGAUUUCCAACGGUCAUCAUAGCUGCUUCAUCGUGGUUCCCUGUUUCUGUAUUUUUACUCCUUUAGUGGUUAACAUAUUUUUAAGGCAGAAAGAGAGAAUGUACUUUUGUUUUUUUCACAUCCUAGCUAACAUUAACAUGCAGUUUAUCUAGCUACGUCAUCAAGCGUGGCUUCGCUUCCAACCAGCUUUUUCUCUCCAAGUGCAGCUCUGUCUCCGUGCUGUGGGCUCACACUGCUUCAGCUCUUCAAGACAGAUGACUUUUUGUUUUAACUCCCAAGCUUUUUCCCUCCAAGUUUCUGUGCAGUUCUGCCCUGUUGAGUGCUAACAGCUUCAUCUCUUCAAAAGACAAGACAACAGGUAUCUUCCACCAAGAUGUCUGUUGAAAUGGAAAUGACCUUACCCACUACACCAAGGGUAAUCAUGCUUGGAAAUAGCUUGAUGUCUGCAACCCGGUGGAUGGUCAGUAUGGAGGAGAAGGUAUUUUUCGAGCCUGAGCAACUACAUGACUUUGCCAGCGUCCUUGCUGUCUUUUUUGGGUCAUAUUAUGUCUUCAAUCUGGAGUAUCAGGAGUCAGCAUCCACCACGCUGGAGAUGAUACAACAGCAAGUACUCUACACCAAGCCAUUUAUGAAUUAAAUUUAAUGACAGUUUGACUGAUGAUGAAGAACCAUAGCUGAUUGCUGUAUUGUACGUCUUCAUUAAAAAUUACAAUUAAUAUAUUUUAUUUCUGUUAAAAGAUUCUUUGUGAGGAUCAAUCCAGAUGUUGGUACCAAAUGUCUUGUCAUGAGGAAAGUAGUCAGUGUGAACUCCCAGAUCACCACCUUCUUCCAACGACUUGCUGAAUUUGAAUGGAGGACUUCCAACUAGUUCAGCUUCCACAAGAUGGAUCCCACUGAUUUUGUUUGACGAAUGGAAUAAAAGUUCUUCUGAUGUAGGAAAUGUGUUCUAUGGUUUUGUUGUUUUAUAGCACAUUAUAUUGUAUUGUGACAUUGUUCUUUAUGACAUUGCGAAUAUGUAAAUGGAUUUUAUUUCUACAAAUCUGCUGAAAAUAAAUACCUGUUAUUCACAGUA